UUUUGGCACACGGAGCACACAUGCGGAAGAGCUUCGCCCGUGGUCAGAGGCGUUGAGUCCAGCGACUCCUCCAGGAAGUCCUCCUCCUCGCAGACAUCCUCUCCGUCCGGCAGCUGUGGGUAAGGAAUUAUGCUCUUCGCGCUCGUUCUCGUCUAGCUCGAUGGCCUCCUCCCCGAUUACCUCGUCUAUGGCUCCUUCAGCGGGUAUCACAAUCAUCUGGCCGUCCAGUAUCUCGUCGUGUGCUCCGGACUCUUCCAUUAUCUCGAUCUCAUCCUCCUCGGUGACGAUCGUUUCGAACUCAUCCUUAAUCGUCACGUACUCAACUUCAGCGGGCUGAAACUCAUGAACACUCUCCAUGGUGAUGUGCUCCUCCUGGCCGCCCGCCUGCUCAUGCUGUUGAUCCUCCUCCGUCAGCUCCUCCUCAUGAUCGGCCACUUCCUCGAUGACGAAUUCCUCCUCGUUUAUGUGCUCGUGAGGAUCGGCCUCAACUUCUUGUUCUUCCAACUACAAGAGAUCGAAGUCAUUAAGGGUAUUAUUUUAUAAUUGGCUGUUUAAUGUUAACUUAAUGCAAUGAUUAAGGAUCGUGUGUGAGACUUUUAUAUGGCAUUCUACCUGAAACUUGGCAAAAGCCCUUCGUUUUAUCAAAUGCAAUUAUAAAUUCAAAUGAAAAUAUCUUGGAAUUUGCAUAAAA